GGGCCCGCACAAGCAGCGGAGCAUGUGGUUUAAUUCGAAGCAACGCGAAGAACCUUACCAGGUCUUGACAUCCAGUAAAAGCUGUAGAGAUACAGUGUGCCUUCGGGCAUACUGAGACAGGUGGUGCAUGGUUGUCGUCAGCUCGUGUCGUGAGAUGUUGGGUUAAGUCCCGCAACGAGCGCAACCCUUGCUAAUAGUUACUAACGGAUAACGCCGAGGACUCUAUUGGGACUGCCGUGGACAACACGGAGGAAGGUGGGGACGACGUCAAAUCAUCAUGCCCCUUAUGACCUGGGCUACACACGUGCUACAAUGGUCGCAACAAAGAGAAGCGAGGGCGCAAGCCGGAGCGGAUCUCAAAAAAGCGGUCUCAGUUCGGAUUGUGGGCUGCAACCCGCCCACAUGAAGCAGGAGUUGCUAGUAAUCGCGAAUCAGCAUGUCGCGGUGAAUACGUUCCCGGGCCUU
rnacentral:rRNA from 1 species